rnacentral:rRNA from 1 species
CAGUCGCCGCGGGAAUACGUAGGUGGCAAGCGUUGUCCGGAAUUAUUGGGCGUAAAGCGCGCGUAGGUGGUUUAAUAAGUCUGAUGUGAAAGCCCACGGCUCAACUGUGGAAGGUCAUUGGAAACUGUUAAACUUGAGUGCAGGAGAGAAAAGUGGAAUUCCUAGUGUAGCGGUGAAAUGCGUAGAGAUUAGGAGGAACACCAGUGGCGAAGGCGGCUUUUUGGCCUGUAACUGACACUGAGGCGCGAAAGCGUGGGGAGCAAACAGGAUUAGAGACCCCAGUAGUCCCUGUCUCUUAUAA